rnacentral:rRNA from 1 species
CACGCCGUAAACGAUGAGUGCUAGGUGUUAGGCCCUUUCCGGGGCUUAGUGCCGGAGCUAACGCAAUAAGCACUCCGCCUGGGGAGUACGACCGCAAGGUUGAAACUCAAAGGAAUUGACGGGGGCCCGCACAAGCGGUGGAGCAUGUGGUUUAAUUCGAAGCAACGCGAAGAACCUUACCAGGUCUUGACAUCCCGAUGCUAUUCUUAGAGAUAGGAAGUUACUUCGGUACAUCGGAGACAGGUGGUGCAUGGUUGUCGUCAGCUCGUGUCGUGAGAUGUUGGGUUAAGUCCCGCAACGAGCGCAACCCUUAUUGUUAGUUGCCAUCAUUAAGUUGGGCACUCUAGCGAGACUGCCGGUAAUAAACCGGAGGAAGGUGGGGAUGACGUCAAAUCAUCAUGCCCCUUAUGACCUGGGCUACACACGUGCUACAAUGGUCGGUACAACGAGUUGCGAGCCGGUGACGGCAAGCUAAUCUCUGAAAGCCGAUCUCAGUUCGGAUUGGAGGCUGCAACUCGCCUCCAUGAAGUCGGAAUCGCUAGUAAUCGCGGAUCAGCACGCCGCGGUGAAUACGUUCCCGGGCCUUGUACACACCGCCCGUCACACCACGAGAGUUUGUAACACCCGAAGUCGGUGAGGUAACCUUUUAGGGGCCAGCCGCCUAAGGUGGGAUGGAUGAUUGGGGUG